rnacentral:rRNA from 1 species
CAGUCGCCGCGGUAAUACGUAGGUGGCAAGCGUUGUCCGGAAUUAUUGGGCGUAAAGGGCUCGCAGGCGGUUUCUUAAGUCUGAUGUGAAAGCCCCCGGCUCAACCGGGGAGGGUCAUUAGAAACUGGGAAACUUGAGUGCAGAAGAGGAGAGUGGAAUUCCACGUGUAGCGGUGAAAUGCGUAGAGAUGUGGAGGAACACCAGUGGCGAAGGCGACUCUCUGGUCUGUAACUGACGCUGAGGAGCGAAAGCGUGGGGAGCGAACAGGAUUAGAUACCCCGGUAGUCCCUGUCUCUUAUAC